UACGUAGGGUGCAAGCGUUUGUCCGGAAUUAUUGGGCGUAAAGAGCUCGUAGGCGGUUUGUCGCGUCUGCUGUGAAAACGCGAGGCUCAACCUCGCGCCUGCAGUGGGUACGGGCAGACUAGAGUGCGGUAGGGGGAGAUUGGAAUUCCUGGUGUAGCGGUGGAAUGCGCAGAUAUCAGGAGGAACACCGGAUGGCGGAAGGCAGAUCUCUGGGCCGUAACUGACGCUGAGGAGCGAAAGCAUGGGGAGCGAACAGGG
rnacentral:rRNA from 1 species